rnacentral:rRNA from 1 species
UGAAUACGAGGCACUAAGGUGCUGAAGUAGUGUAUGUCAUACUUCCAAGAAAAGCUUGCACUAUCGUAAGAUAAAAAUGCCUGUACCAUAACCGACACAGGUGGGUAGGUAGAGUAUACUAAGGGGCGCGAGAUAACUCUCUCUAAGGAACUCGGCAAAAUAACUCCGUAACUUCGGGAGAAGGAGUGCCUUAUUCUAUAAGGUUGCAAUAACAAGAUCCAAGCAACUGUUUAUCAAAAACACAGGUCUCCGCUAAGUCGUAAGACGAUGUAUGGGGGCUGACGCCUGCCCAGUGCCAGAAGAUUAAAGAAGUCGGUUAGCAAUUGCGAAGCUGGUAACUGAAGCCCUGGUGAACGGCGGCCGUAACUAUAACGGUCCUAAGGUAGCGAAAUUCCUUGUCGGGUAAGUUCCGACCCGCACGAAAGGCGUAAUGAUUUGGAUACUGUCUCGGAGAGGGACUCGGUGAAAUAGACUUGUCUGUGAAGAUGCGGACUACCUGCACCAGGACAGAAAGACCCUAUGAAGCUUUACUGUAACUUGAAAUUGAAAUUGGACUUUAUUCGCGCAGUAUAGGUGGGAGGCGUUGAUUAUAAUCUUGUGGGAUUAUUGGAGCCAUUAGUGAGAUACCACUCUUGUAAUGUUAGAUUUCUAACUUUGAAUCAUGAUCUGGUCAAAGAACAGUUUCAGGCGGGCAGUUUGACUGGGGCGGUCGCCUCCUAAAUGGUAACGGAGGCGUACAAAGGUUUCCUCUGAACGGGUAGAAAUCGUAUCUAGAGUGUAAAGGCAUAAGGAAGCUUGACUGUGAGACCUACAAGUCUAGCAGGGACGAAAGUCGGUCUUAGUGAUCUGACGGUACUGAGUGGAAAGGCCGUCACUCAACGGAUAAAAGUUACUCUAGGAUAACAGGCUGAUCUCCCCCAAGAGUUCACAUCGACGGGGAGGUUUGGCACCUCGAUGUCGGCUCAUCGCAUCCUGGGGCGGUAGUACGUCCCAAGGGUUGGGCUGUUCGCCCAUGAAAGCGGUACGCGAGCUGGGUUCAGAACGUCGUGAGACAGUUCGGUCCAUAUCCGGUGUAGGCGUUAGAAUAUUGAGAGGAGCCCUUUUUAGUACGAGAGGACCGAGAAGGACAUACCUCUGGUGUACCAGUUAUCGUGCCAACGGUAAACGCUGGGUAGCUAUGUAUGGAGUGGAUAACCGCUGAAAGCAUCUAAGUGGGAAGCCCACCUCAAGAUAAGUAUUCU